rnacentral:misc_RNA from 1 species
AGCUUGGGGGCGGAUUCGCUAGGGGCCUUAGAUCGCCAGGCGCUGAGGACAACGAGCAACUGCUGUUGAAUAUCAUGCAUUGGUUGUCAUUCGAUUUGUGAGGCUAUAGUGAUUAACUGAUCUGCCGGCGGGAAAGCUGCCCACGGCGAUGAAACUGGCAACGAUUCGUAACAACACGCGCGACGGUGAGCUUGUAGUCGUUUCGGCAGAUCUGAGGCGAUAUCAGCGUGUUCGCGAUAUCGCUCCUACGUUGCAAGCUGCGCUCGAUAAUUGGAGUACGUCGGCGCCUCUUUUGCGCGCUGCGGCGCAAACCUUGGGCAAUAACGAGCGAGAGGCCGAGCGCGUUGACAACGCCGUAUGGGCCGCGCCGUUGCCUAGA